rnacentral:rRNA from 1 species
AGUGAACGCUGGCGGUAGGCCUAACACAUGCAAGUCGAACGGCAGCACAGUAAGAGCUUGCUCUUACGGGUGGCGAGUGGCGGACGGGUGAGGAAUACAUCGGAAUCUACUUUUUCGUGGGGGAUAACGUAGGGAAACUUACGCUAAUACCGCAUACGACCUACGGGUGAAAGCAGGGGAUCUUCGCACCUUGCGCGAUUGAAUGAGCCGAUGUCGGAUUAGCUAGUUGGCGGGGUAAAGGCCCACCAAGGCGACGAUCCGUAGCUGGUCUGAGAGGAUGAUCGGCCACACUGGAACUGAGACACGGUCCAGACUCCUACGGGAGGCAGCAGUGGGGAAUAUUGGACAAUGGGCGCAAGCCUGACCCAGCCAGACCGCGUGGGUGAAGAAGGCCUUCGGGUUGUAAAGCCCUUUUGAUGGGAAAGAAAAGCAGCAGGUUAAUACCCCGCUGUUCUGACGGUACCCAAAGAAUAAGCACCGGCUAACUUCGUG